GAUGAACGCUGGCGGCGUGCCUAAUACAUGCAAGUCGAGCGAACAGACGAGAGUGCUUGCACUCUCUGACGUUAGCGGCGGACGUGUGAGUAACACGUGGGUAACCUACCUAUAAGACUGGGAUAACUUCGGGAAACCGGAGCUAAUACCGGAUAAUAUUUAGCUUCGCAUGAAGCAAUAGUGAAAGACGGUUCUGCUGUCACAUAUAGAUGGACCCGCGGUGUAUUAGCUAGUUGGUGAGGUAACGGCUCACCAAGGCAACGAUACAUAGCCGACCUGAGAGGGUGAUCGGCCACACUGGGACUGAGACACGGCCCAGACUCCUACGGGAGGCAGCAGUAGGGAAUCUUCCGCAAUGGACGAAAGUCUGACGGAGCAAUGCCGCGUGAGUGAAGAAGGUUUUCGGAUCGUAAAACUCUGUUGUAAGGGAAGAACAAGUACGUUAGUAACUGAACGUACCUUGACGGUACCUUACCAGAAAGCCACGGCUAACUACGUG
rnacentral:rRNA from 1 species